rnacentral:tRNA from 1 species
CCUUUGUAGUAUAAUUAAUACACUGGUCUUGUAAACCAGAAAUGGAGAAAAUAAUUCUCCCUAAGACAU